GACGAACGCUGGCGGCGUGCCUAAUACAUGCAAGUCGAACGCUUCUUUCCUCCCGAGUGCUUGCCCUCCAUUGGAAAGAGGAGUGGCGGACGGGUGAGUAACACGUGGGUAACCUACCCAUCAGAGGGGGAUAACACUUGGAAACAGGUGCUAAUACCGCAUAACAGUUUAUGCCGCAUGGCAUAAGAGUGAAAGGCGCUUUCGGGUGUCGCUGAUGGAUGGACCCGCGGUGCAUUAGCUAGUUGGUGAGGUAACGGCUCACCAAGGCCACGAUGCAUAGCCGACCUGAGAGGGUGAUCGGCCACACUGGGACUGAGACACGGCCCAGACUCCUACGGGAGGCAGCAGUAGGGAAUCUUCGGCAAUGGACGAAAGUCUGACCGAGCAACGCCGCGUGAGUGAAGAAGGUUUUCGGAUCGUAAAACUCUGUUGUUAGAGAAGAACAAGGACGUUAGUAACUGAACGUCCCCUGACGGUAUCUAACCAGAAAGCCACGGCUAACUACGUG
rnacentral:rRNA from 1 species